UCCAGUGAUAAUGAGAUAAAUGUCCACGUAUCUUUACGAUAUCAUUACAAAAUAGUGAGAUAAAUAGAUAGUUAAUUAUACUUUGUGUCUUUUUAUAGACGUAGCGGUAUCUAUUCAGCAAACUAAAGAAAGGUACGCGACUGACACACAUUUGAGGUGUUGUAAUGUUUUGUAUUCAGUGGUGUACUGAGAGAGGACAAUAUGAAAAUAGAGACAUUUUAAUCUCGUUACAGUAAAUGCGACUUUUGCUUUUGGAUACAUAACUAAGAUGCAAACGCGUGUUAUAGGCAGUAAUAGAUCUGGUGAACUGUGCUCGCAUGUAGAACAGUCAAGUUCAAUGACCCCACCCCCCCAGCAGUGGCUUGUCUAAGAUAUGCAAACUGCUAUCUUGUUUAUCUUAACUAGGCGUUAAUGUGCUGGUUAUCUUCGAGAUUUGAUAAUCGUAUCUAACAGAUAGAGCGUGUAGCGGAGCUGGCGGCGUUGAGAGCGGGCUAGGCCGGCUGCUGCCGCGGCCGGGACGACUGCGGGGUGAUAAGGGGAGCAAACAGCGCCGGCGCGGGCAAAUAUUUGUAGGGAACGGCGACGUGUCAUCGUCUCCCCCCGCCUCGUCCCUCAAGCGACGAUAUGAAGCCGUGAUAUGACGGCACUAUCCCUGAUACGGAGUAAUUAUCAGAUACAAGUCCCACAGAUUUGAUUACGAGAGCUCGUCUCCUCAUUAUACUGGCUGCCCCGACACGAGCAGCGCCUGUUGCGGGAGACCAGCUUUCGAGAGCUGGUGACUCGUCUGCAUUUUGUGUAAUUCCGUGUGUGAUUGUGCUCUUGUGUGGGUGCGGGGCGUGGGGCCGGGGCGGAGUGUCCGCCGAUCCGAUAAGCCCUCGAUACGUCCGCGGAUUAUUGAUGGGCGCCGCUCGACCUCAUCAUGAUGUUAUCACUUGUUUUUUUCGUCGAAUAUUUUCCGUGAAAAGCUAAUAAAGUGUUGGAGUGAGUGGGUGAGAGACGCGCGGGGCGUCAACGACACGUGACGCGAUAAGCGGCCAUAUUGUUUCACUGUCCCCUCUACCCCACCCCGCACCACCGCAGCGGAAUUUCAAGAACGGUGUAUCACGCAAUCCCCACGUUUCAGCGCUCUUGAGUGCUUACACAAUGACAAAGAGUAGAACCAACAUUGGACGCCGUGAGCCUAUUCACAGGAUGUGUUCUACUUUGGAUUCGCACUCCUCUACAGCGUUUAAGAAAUGUCCUAAGACUUGUAUCUUUCUUCUUUAUUAUAGCUAACAGAAUAUUUGCCCAUGUGCUAAUUUAUAAAUUUUGUGGUGUCAUAUUUUUUUAUCAGUGAAAAUUUUUGUCGGUACGUCCAAUGUAUUGAUUUUAUGUUUUACUGUAUAGAUAUGUAUCUGUUCAGUUUCCUUAAUAAAUAAGUAAAUAUUGAUAAAAACUUAAACUAAUCAGAUUAAAAAAAAAGUUUGUUUCGUAGGUAUUGGAGUUUAUUAUAAGACAAUUUGAUAAAAUUAUAAUAACUAAUAUUAUGUACAAAAACAAUAUAAUAAAAUUCUAUACUAAAAUUUGCCUCUUCGACAAAGCGGGCAUCUGUAACUGCAUUAUAACGUACAGAGCCAUCUACCGGUAACAAUAUAAAACUAGUUGAUACUAAUUAGAAUUAGCAUUUAUGGAGUUUGAUUCAUUUUAGGUCGGUAUUAAACAUACAGGUAAAUCUUUUAUAAAAUAUAUCUCUAAUAAAAUAUAGAAUUCGGUUCGCAUUCAGAGAGGCUUCAGAUCUCUUCGAUGUUACCACUGGAUUAACACUUGAUUAUAUAAAUAUGUAUAUUUCAUUUACAGCAUCUCAUAGUACAUAGU